rnacentral:hammerhead_ribozyme from 1 species
GCACUGCUGAAUUGUCCUAUAAUAGGACGAAACGGCCGUCAAGUGC